AGUGAACGCUGGCGGUAGGCCUAACACAUGCAAGUCGAACGGCAGCACAGUAAGAGCUUGCUCUUACGGGUGGCGAGUGGCGGACGGGUGAGGAAUACAUCGGAAUCUACUUUUUCGUGGGGGAUAACGUAGGGAAACUUACGCUAAUACCGCAUACGACCUACGGGUGAAAGCAGGGGAUCUUCGGACCUUGCGCGAUUGAAUGAGCCGAUGUCGGAUUAGCUAGUUGGCGGGGUAAAGGCCCACCAAGGCGACGAUCCGUAGCUGGUCUGAGAGGAUGAUCAGCCACACUGGAACUGAGACACGGUCCAGACUCAUACGGGAGGCAGCAGUGGGGAAUAUUGGACAAUGGGCGCAAGCCUGAUCCAGCCAUACCGCGUGGGUGAAGAAGGCCUUCGGGUUGUAAAGCCCUUUUGUUGGGAAAGAAAAGCAGCAGGUUAAGACCCCGCUGUUCUGACGGUACCCAAAGAAUAAGCACCGGCUAACUUCGU
rnacentral:rRNA from 1 species